GCCAGCGUAGCUCAGUGGUAGAGCAGGCGCCUUGUAAGCGUCAGGUCGUGGGUUCGAAUCCCACCGCUGGCU
rnacentral:tRNA from 1 species